rnacentral:tRNA from 1 species
GGGCCUGUAGCUCAGAGGAUUAGAGCACGUGGCUACGAACCACGGU